rnacentral:rRNA from 1 species
UACGAAGGGGGCUAGCGUUGCUCGGAAUCACUGGGCGUAAAGGGUGCGUAGGCGGGUCUUUAAGUCAGGGGUGAAAUCCUGGAGCUCAACUCCAGAACUGCCUUUGAUACUGAGGAUCUUGAGUACGGGAGAGGUGAGUGGAACUGCGAGUGUAGAGGUGAAAUUCGUAGAUAUUCGCAAGAACACCAGUGGCGAAGGCGGCGCACUGGCCCGGUACUGACGCUGAGGUGCGAAAGCGUGGGGAGCAAACAGG